GAUGAAGAACGUAGCGAAAUGCGAUAAGUAAUGUGAAUUGCAGAAUUCAGUGAAUCAUCGAAUCUUUGAACGCACAUUGCGCCCGCCAGUAUUCUGGCGGGCAUGCCUGUUCGAGCGUCAUUUCAACCAUCAAGCCCCCGGCUUGUGUUGGGGACCUGCGGCUGCCGCAGGCCCUGAAAACCAGUGGCGGGCUCGCUAGUCACUCCGAGCGUAGUAAUACAUCUCGCCCAGGGCGUGCUGCGGGUUCCGGCCGUUAAAAAGCCUUAUUUACCCAAGGUUGACCUCGGAUCAGGUAGGAAGACCCGCUGAACUUAAGCAUAUCAAUAAGCGGAGGA
rnacentral:misc_RNA from 1 species